rnacentral:rRNA from 1 species
AGUGAACGCUGGCGGUAGGCCUAACACAUGCAAGUCGAACGGCAGCACAGGAGAGCUUGCUCUCUGGGUGGCGAGUGGCGGACGGGUGAGGAAUACAUCGGAAUCUACUUUUUCGUGGGGGAUAACGCAGGGAAACUUACGCUAAUACCGCAUACGACCUACGGGUGAAAGCAGGGGAUCUUCGGACCUUGCGCGAUUGAAUGAGCCGAUGUCGGAUUAGCUAGUUGGCGGGGUAAAGGCCCACCAAGGCGACGAUCCGUAGCUGGUCUGAGAGGAUGAUCAGCCACACUGGAACUGAGACACGGUCCAGACUCCUACGGGAGGCAGCAGUGGGGAAUAUUGGACAAUGGGCGCAAGCUUGAUCCAGCCAUACCGCGUGGGUGAAGAAGGCCUUCGGGUUGUAAAGCCCUUUUGUUGGGAAAGAAAUCCAGCUGGUUAAUACCCGGUUGGGAUGACGGUACCCAAAGAAUAAGCACCGGCUAACUUCGUGCCAGCAGCCGCCGCAG